rnacentral:misc_RNA from 1 species
UGACCAAUCACGCAAAGUGGUAUUGGGGCUUGCCGUUCGGCAUCCCUUAAAAUCAGUGGCAGUGCCAUAGGCUCUCAGCGUAGUAAUUAUUCCGCUCUUGAGUCCUGGAAGCAUCCGCCAGAACCCCCAACUUUCUUUAA